rnacentral:rRNA from 1 species
GAUGAACGCUGGCGGCGUGCCUAAUACAUGCAAGUCGAGCGAACAGACGAGGAGCUUGCUCCUCUGACGUUAGCGGCGGACGGGUGAGAAACACGUGGAUAACCUACCUAUAAGACUGGGAUAACUUCGGGAAACCGGAGCUAAUACCGGAUAAUUUAUUGAACCGCAUGGUUCAAUAGUGAAAGACGGUUUUGCUGUCACUUAUAGAUGGAUCCGCGCCGCAUUAGCUAGUUGGUAAGGUAACGGCUUACCAAGGCAACGAUGCGUAGCCGACCUGAGAGGGUGAUCGGCCACACUGGAACUGAGACACGGUCCAGACUCCUACGGGAGGCAGCAGUAGGGAAUCUUCCGCAAUGGGCGAAAGCCUGACGGAGCAACGCCGCGUGAGUGAUGAAGGUCUUCGGAUCGUAAAACUCUGUUAUUAGGGAAGAACAAAUGUGUAAGUAACUAUGCACGUCUUGACGGUACCUAAUCAGAAAGCCACGGCUAACUACGUG